rnacentral:piRNA from 1 species
UCCAUUUCUGGUCGCCUCUACCUCUAUAU